UGGGGGUGCCGUUGGGGUCAGUGGGGUGCGGCUGACCCCCACGUGCCCCCCAGG
rnacentral:pre_miRNA from 1 species